ensembl:lncRNA
ACAGUAGGAUAUAGGACAGAUGCUGGCUGAACAGUAGGAUAUAGGACAGAUAUAGCCUCUGAACAGUAGGAUAUAGGACAGAUAUAGCCUCUGAACAGUAGGAUAUAGGACAGAUGCUGGCUGAACAGUAGAAUAUAGGACAGAUAUAGCCUCUGAACAGUAGGAUAUAGGACAGAUAUAGGCUCUGAACAGUAGGAUAUAGGACAGAUAUAGCCUCUGAACAGUGUAUGUUCCAUACUGCAUGUAUUAUAGUGGAUUUGUUUGCUGACUUCACAAAAUAAAUGUCCAUGUAAAUGGGCUAGGUCUAAAUGUCAAUGUAAAUGGGCUAGGUCUAAAUGGGCUAGGUCUAAAUGGGCUAGGUCUAAAUGGGCUAGGUCUAAAUGGGCUAAGUCUAAAUGGGCUAGGUCUAAAUGGGCUAGGUCUAAAUGUCCAUGUAAAUGGGCUAAGUCUAAAUGUCCAUGUAAAUGGGCUAGGUCUAAAUGUCGGUGUAAAUGGGCUAAGUCUUAAUGUCGGUGUAAAUGGGCUAAGUCUACUGUAUUUUGUAUAUCGUACUUUGCUCUCAUUUUGAGAGAAAUAAAAUCCAGUUCGAUUCCCAACUCAGUAACUCAGAUCAGCUUUAAUAUUGAACAUAGAUUGUAACUCAGACCUUGGGGGAAGAUCAGCUUUAAUAUUGAACAUAGAUUGUAACUCAGGCCUUGGGGAAGUUCUGCUUUAAUAUUGAACAUAGAUUGUUGAUUCCAUCAAUGUAAUUGUCUGC